GUUGCUGUUAACAACGAAGCUGUCGAACAUGAAGCAGAGACGCUUUGGAUUAAAGUUUGCAGUAUUUGUUCAUUGAUUUCAUUGAUUCACAUCAUGGUGAACACUUCUGACAUGUGUUUACGUGUAACUACUGUCACAGUCUGCUUUCAAUCAAAUGUUGAGUGUUUUAUUUUUAUUAAAUUUACAUUAAAUCAAGGUGCAGAUUUCAAAGGCGCUCACAUCUACAGUGUGUAUGAACAUGUAACCAGACGUGCUGACAGUCUCACAGACAUCAGUGUUCAUGCUGACAGUUCUGUGGUGUCACUGGACUUCUUGGGUUCUGCCAUUCCAUCAGAGCGAAGCCUUUCUUAUCUGCUGACCAACUUAGUGUGCAGCUGUUCUGAUAUAUUCAGUGUAUUUGGAAUUAUUUGUGAUGUUUUCUGUGAGCACGUGUGUGCUCAGUUUCUUUUAUCUUAGCUCCAGAACCAGAACCAGAACCAGCGCAGAGACCUGCAGCUGGGCUGCAGCCAGCUUAAGUUCUGCUUCCAGGCGGCUGGACAGCGUCACUGCCAGGCUGGGUGAGCCAGGCGGGUCGAGUGGUGCUGAAAAAUGAGCUGCAGACAUGGUACCAACCUCCUGGACCCAGACAGCUGUACCACCAGCCUCCCGCCUCACCUGACACGUUUUCUCAGCAGCCCUUCUUCCUGUGUGCACUCACAGAAUGACGGGUGCAGCCUGUAAAAGACCGUCUGCAAGGUUCUGGACCUGGACGGCUGGUACUUUGUGGGUUCAGAGUACCUGGAGUGCCGCCAGGACGCAGCUUCCUGCUGUGCUCACCGACAGCAGGAUGAAGGUCGAAGGUCAUCAGACAGACCUGUCACUCAACAUGCAGCUGCUGCGGACAUCUUUCCACUGGAGGACCUGAUUGGACAAUCCCUCCACGUCCGCUACGUGGGACAAUAACUGGGCGAGAGAGGUG